rnacentral:rRNA from 1 species
UACAGAGGUGGCAAGCGUUGUCCGGAAUCACUGGGCGUAAAGGGCGCGUAGGCGGUGUGUCACGUCGUUCGUGAAAACCUGCAGCUUAACUGUGGGCGUGCGGUCGAUACGGGCAUCACUGGAGUUCGGCAGGGGAGACUGGAAUUCCUGGUGUAGCGGUGAAAUGCGCAGAUAUCAGGAGGAACACCGGUGGCGAAGGCGGGUCUCUGGGCCGAUACUGACGCUGAGGAGCGAAAGCGUGGGGAGCAAACAGG